rnacentral:rRNA from 1 species
UACGAAGGGGGCGAGCGUUGUUCGGAAUUACUGGGCGUAAAGGGCGCGCAGGCGGCUCUGAAAGUCAGAUGUGAAAGCCCCGGGCUUAACCUGGGAAUUGCAUUUGAUACUCUGGAGCUUGAAUACGGGAGAGGAGAGUGGAAUUCCCAGUGUAGAGGUGAAAUUCGUAGAUAUUGGGAAGAACACCGGUGGCGAAGGCGGCUCUCUGGACCGUAACUGACGCUGAGGCGCGAAAGCGUGGGGAGCAAACAGG